rnacentral:rRNA from 1 species
UACAGAGGUCUCAAGCGUUAAUCGGAAUCACUGGGCUUAAAGGGUGCGCAGGCGGAUCCGACAGUGCUUUGUGAAAUACCACCGCUCAACGGUGGAACAGCUUGGCAUACUACGGAUCUUGAGCCCGACAGGGGUCGUCGGAACGCUAGGUGGAGCGGUGAAAUGCGUAGAUAUCUAGCGGAACGCCAAUGGUGAAGACAGACGACUGGGUCGGCGCUGACGCUCAGGCACGAAAGCGUGGGGAGCAAACGGG